AUUGAACGCUGGCGGCAGGCCUAACACAUGCAAGUCGAACGAGUGGCGGACGUGUGAGUAAUGUCUGGGAAACUGCCUGAUGGAGGGGGAUAACUACUGGAAACGGUAGUUAAUACCGCAUACCAUCAGAUGUGCCCUGGUGGGAUUCGCUAGUUGGUGGGGUAACGGCUCACCAAGGCAACGAUCCCUAGCUGGUCUGAGAGGGUGACCGGCCACACUGGAACGGAGACACGGCCCAGACUCCUACGGGAGGCAGCAGUGGGGAAUAUUGCACAAUGGGCGCAAGCCUGAUGCAGCCAUGCCGCGUGUAUGAAGAAGGCCUUCGGGUUGUAAAGUUCUUUCAGAGGGGAGGCGUUACCCGCAGAAGAAGCACCGGCUAACUCCGUGCCAGCAGCCGCGGUAAUAC
rnacentral:rRNA from 1 species